rnacentral:rRNA from 1 species
ACGGAGGGUGCAAGCGUUAAUCGGAUUUAUUGGGCGUAAAGAGCGCGUAGGCGGACAGUUAAGUCAGACGUGAAAUCCCGGAGCUCAACUCCGGAACGGCGUUUGAAACUGACUAUCUUGAGGAUGGACGGAGAAAACGGAAUUCCAUGUGUAGCGGUGAAAUGCGUAGAUAUAUGGAAGAACACCAGUGGCGAAGGCGGUUUUCUAGUUUAUUCCUGACGCUGAGGCGCGAAAGCAAGGGGAGCAAACAGG